ensembl:miRNA aca-mir-449c aca-mir-449c
GUGAUGGUUUGGCAGUGUACUCUUAGUUAGCUGUUGUAUAUAUUACAGCAACUAAAUACACUUCCAUAUUAUUGC